UACGGAGGAUGCGAGCGUUAUCCGGAUUUAUUGGGUUUAAAGGGUGCGUAGGCGGACGCUUAAAUCAGCGGUAAAAUUGCGGGGCUCAACCUCGUCGAGCCGUUGAAACUGGGUGCCUUGAGUGGGCGAGAAGUACGCGGAAUGCGUGGUGUAGCGGUGAAAUGCAUAGAUAUCACGCAGAACUCCGAUUGCGAAGGCAGCGUACCGGCGCCCAACUGACGCUGAAGCACGAAGGCGUGGGUAUCGAACAGG
rnacentral:rRNA from 1 species